UCUGAAGUUGGCAUCCAUGAAACAAUUGAGAGACUCUAUUUCAAAGGAAACAGGCUUUCUCGAAAAUUUGCGGACAAAAAACCUGGCUUAAUUGCGUUAUACGGCGCAGUUUACUUCAAGACGCCCCUCCAUCCGAGGGCUUUAAUACACUCGCAACUCAACAAUAACACCUUCCUCUACCUAUUUAAAUAUAAUGGGUAAGCAUAAUUAUGUACAUAGGACUUCGUGAAAUCUAAAAAAUUCGCGAAAUGAAAUAUUUUUGGUUAGGGUUCAAAACGUUUACGUACAUUUGGGAGGGUUACCCGAUUACAUUGAAAAAGGUGUCGCUCAUGGAGACGAAAUCCCCUACUUAUUUUAUAGGGAGGAGUUCACGAAAGACGAGGAGCGUUCCGUUAGCUCGACAUUUGUGAAUAUGUGGUACGAUUUUGCUAAGAAUGGCGAUCCCAAUCCCAUCGAGGAUGCCAAAUUAUGGCCAAAAUUUACCAAAGAUGACGAAACCUAUAUGGAUAUCGACGUCAUAAAUUCGCCACGAAAUGAUUGGGUUAGUUCCUGGACGGACGAUUUGAGUUGUGCUGUUCCUGCUUGAAUUAAGAUAUUCUAGGUGUCGGUAUAUCUUAAUUUAUAAAAUUAAAAAUAAUUUGGUGACAAUUAUGAGCCCAAUGACUCUAUUUAUUUGAGUUAUG